rnacentral:lncRNA from 1 species
ACUAGGAAGUCAAUAGUAAAGCGAUAACUUCAGAAAGCGUAUAACAUUGAACAGUUUGGAAAUGUGUUUUAGUUUAAGUUUUCUGGGAUGAGGAACAGGGUUAUAUAAAGGAUAUAAUAAUGUAGUUUAUGGAUUUUUUUUUUUUUUUUUUACCAUAAACGGUUUACAUUAAGCUGAUGCUUUUCUCCAAAGCAACUUACAAUUAUUUAUGUUGCUGAGUAAUUUUGCUGGAACAGUUUAGGGUAAGUACCUUGCUCAUCAGUAUCAAUCCUGGGACCUUUAGAUCCAAAGAGAGGAGCUCUAACCACUACACUACCAGCUGUCCCUGACUUAUGAUGGUGAGUAAAUAAGAAACUGAUGACAAAAGGUUCUGGUUUGUUCUUAAUCAUUUUCUUAAUUCAACUUCGAGUCUUUUGUCUCUUUUGUCUUACUGGAAAAAAAACCUGUUUUUUUUCUGAUUAACUGUAAGUGGGGCUUUAAUAAAAGAAUAAAGGAAUAUUGAUUGAAUUAAUCGAACAAAUAGCAGUAAUUCAUUUAUUCAGUGAGGAUUAAAUAAUUAGUCUGCCUCCCUCCUAACCGACAGUCAGUACUUUUCUUUCCCUAAGGGCGUCAGUGUGAUAUGAAAUUACGUUUUCAAGAAUUCUACUACCUCGAAUACAUGAAUAAAAGUGGAAAAAAUAGCUCCGAGCACAGCGGAACAGAACGUUGGCAGGCUGAGAGAGCUCUUGCCGCUCAGUCCGCAGACUGCGGCGUGGAGAAAGGUGCCAGGACCUGCCGAAAGAUCAACAGUGCCACUUCAAACGCCUGUUUGAGUGCAAUUCUUUAGUGAGUAAUGACUGCCAGAGUUACUAGAAUUUUACUGAAUAUUUCCAUAUAAUUUGCUUUUAGGCUGAAGAGCUGAACUAAACCCUUAAAUCUCUGUUUUCAAUGGCGGGAAAUCCUUGCAACACAUUUUGGCACAAUUUGCACAUGUUCUUUCUAUUUCUUUUGACACAAGAUGAUUAGACCACUUUUUAUCAUCUUUAGUCUUAAUUGUAUUAUUGUAAAAUUUUUUGGGGGCAACUGGCAGCGUAGUGGUUAGAGCUGCUGCUUUUAUCUGACGGUUGCAGGUUUGAGCCCCACCUCUGGCUGUAGUGCCUUUGACCAAC